rfam:Hordeum vulgare subsp. vulgare, WGS project CAJW01000000 data, contig: morex_contig_139808
AACCUACUCCCUCCGUCCGAAAAUACUUGUCCUAAAGAUGAAUGUAUCUCGAUUUAUUUUAGUUAUAGAUACAUCCAUUAUAUCCAUUUUUAAAACAAGUAUUUUCAGACGGAGGGAGUAUUUC